rnacentral:rRNA from 3 species
AUGGCAAAGCCGCGAAUGGCUCAUUACAACAGCCAUAGUUUAUUAGAUCUUACAGUACUUGGAUAACUGUGGUAAUUCUAGAGCUAAUACACGCAUUCAAGUCCUGACCGUAAGGAAAGGACGCAUUUAUUAGACCUAAACCAAUCGGGCGUAAGCCCGUCGUUUGGUGAAUCUGAAUAACCUUGCUGAUCGCAUGGUCCUCGUACCGGCGACGUAUCUUUCAAAUGUCUGCCUUAUCAACUUUCGAUGGUAGUUUAUGCGCCUACCAUGGUUGUAACGGGUAACGGAGAAUAAGGGUUCGACUCCGGAGAGGGAGCCUGAGAAACGGCUACCACAUCCAAGGAAGGCAGCAGGCACGCAAAUUACCCACUCCCGGCACGGGGAGGUAGUGACGAAAAAUAACGAGACGGUUCUCUAUGAGGCCCGUCAUCGGAAUGGGUACAAUUUAAAUCCUUUAACGAGGAUCUAUUGGAGGGCAAGUCUGGUGCCAGCAGCCGCGGUAAUUCCAGCUCCAAAAGCGUAUAUAAAGUUGUUGC